rnacentral:rRNA from 1 species
CGUGGGGAACCUGCCCCAUAGUCUGGGAUACCACUUGGAAACAGGUGCUAAUACCGGAUAAGAAAGCAGAUCGCAUGAUCAGCUUUUAAAAGGCGGCGUAAGCUGUCGCUAUGGGAUGGCCCCGCGGUGCAUUAGCUAGUUUGUAAGGUAAAGGCUUACCAAGGCGAUGAUGCAUAGCCGAGUUGAGAGACUGAUCGGCCACAUUGGGACUGAGACACGGCCCAAACUCCUACGGGAGGCAGCAGAC